GCAGAGAGGAAGGGAGCAAUCCUACAAACGAUGGUUCACUCGAUGUUAAAAGAUGCUCAGCUGUCUAUGACAAACUGGGCAGAAGCUAUCAAUGCUGCUUGCUAUAUUGUAAAUAGGAUAUGGACAAGUGCCAUUGAUGAUAUUCCAUUCAAGGCAUUGUAUGAAAAAUCUCCUAAACUGGAUCANAUAAGGGUGUUUGGGUCCAAGGCAUGGGUUAAUAUUCCACUAAAACAGAGAAGAAAGGGACAAGCUAAAGCAAAGAAAUUAACUUUCCUGGGGUACCAAACAAAUAUGAAGGCAUAUCACUUCAUGAACCAGGACAAGUAUCUAAGCUUUAGCAGAUCAGCAAAUUUUUGUGAAGANGAAAAUUGGCCAAAGAUUCAUGCCAAUAAGGUACCAGAAACAAUAAUGUUGCCUCUCACAGAAAUUCAACAGGAACAAGUAAAUGAGCAGGAAAAUGGUGAUGAUGAAAGUCAGAUAGAUGAGAUUGAACAAGAGGAAGUAAGACAUAUUCCCAGAAGGUCAGAAAGAACCACAAAAGGGAAACCUCCAGAAAGGUUUGCGGUGGCAAACCAUGUAUAUGUGCCNGAACCUGUUGAUUAUCAGGAUGUGGUGGAAAUGGAAAAUACAGAGAGACAGGAAUGGAUGAAAGCAAUGCAAGCAGAAUAUGAUUCAUUGGUAGAAAAUAAUGUGUUUUCAACAGUACCAGCACCAGAAGACAAGAAAGUGUUGGGGUGCAGGUGGUUAUAUCGAGUGAAGUAUUCUCAAGAUGGGCAGGUUAUUAGAAAGGCCAGAUUGGUAGCAAAGGGAUUUGGUCAAGUGAAGUUUAAUGACUAUCACGAAUCAUUUGCUCCAACUCUGAAAGCUGAAUCAUUGAGGCUUGCAUUAGUUGUUGCAGGCUGUAAACAAAUGAGAAUACACCAUCUGGAUUUUAUCACGGCUUAUCUGAAUGCUCCGCUGAUGGAGGAGAUCUAUAUGGCCCAAAUUCCUGGUUUUGAGUGUGGGGAACCACAUAAAGUAUUAAAGUUAAAAAGGGCUCUAUAUGGGUUAAAACAGUCUGCAUUGGCGUGGCAUUCCACAUUAAGUGAAGCUCUAAAACAAAAGGGAUUUGAACAGAGCAUUGCCGAUCCAUGUGUGUUCAAAAGAAAGGUACAAAACAAAUGGUGUUAUCUCAUUGUUUUUGUUGAUGACAUUCUAUACAUGUUCGAGGAAGAUAAUCAGUUACAAUGGCUGCUAGAUACAUUGACUAAAAUGUUCAAAGUCAAACAUCUGGGACCGGUGAAAUUCUAUCUNGGUAUAGAUAUAGAAAGAAACCAGAAAGGAUAUUUUGAAUUAAACCAGAAAAAGAAAAUAAAAGAAUUGUUGAAGAAGUGGCAAAUGGAAGAUGCUAAAACUGUAGCAUAUCCUAUGACCACAAGCUACUUAAAAGACCAGUCUGAUGAAAGGUUUGAAGAUGUAAAAAUGUAUCAGUCAUUAGUAGGGUCAUUACUUUACUUAGCAUGCUGGACCAGGCCUGAUUUAUGUUGGUGUGUACAGGUGCUUUGUAAGCAAUGUCACAAUCCUUGUAAAAAAGACUGGGUGGCAGCCAAGAGAGUACUCAGGUAUUUAAAGGGAACUAUGGAACAAAAANUAAUUCUCAAUGUGC
ensembl:lncRNA